GAUGAAGAACGUAACGAAAUGCGAUAAGUAGUGUGAAUUGCAGAAUUCAGUGAAUCAUCGAAUCUUUGAACGCACAUUGCACCCUUUGGUAUUCCUUAGGGCAUGCCUGUUCGAGCGUCAUUUAAACCUUCAAGCUCAGCUUGGUGUUGGGUGACUGUCCGCUUCACCGCGGACUCGCCUCAAAAUUAUUGGCGGCCGGUACAUUGGCUUCGAGCGCAGCAGAAACGCGAACUCGGGCCCGUCGUAUUGGCUCCCAGAAGCUAUCUUCACAAUUUUGACCUCGGAUCAGGUAGGGAUACCCGCUGAACUUAAGCAUAUCAAUAAGCGGAGGA
rnacentral:misc_RNA from 1 species